CGGUGGGCCACGCCUCCCCAACGAGGCGCGAGCCAUCUGGAAGGAUGGA
rnacentral:ncRNA from 1 species